CUGUUUUCAGCAGCACAGAUACUAAAAUUGGAAUGAUACAGAGAAGAUUAGCCUGUCCCCUGUGCAAGGACAACAUGCCAAUUCAUGAAGAAUUCCAUAUUUUU
rfam:Ornithorhynchus anatinus chromosome 7, whole genome shotgun sequence.